rnacentral:rRNA from 1 species
UACGUAGGGGGCUAGCGUUGUCCGGAAUCAUUGGGCGUAAAGCGCGUGUAGGCGGCCCGGUAAGUCCGCUGUGAAAGUCGGGGGCUCAACCUCGGGCCUGCAGUGGGGUACGGGCAGACUAGAGUGCGGUAGGGGAGAUUGGAAUUCCUGGUGUAGCGGUGGAAUGCGCAGAUAUCAGGAGGAACACCAAUGGCGAAGGCAGAUCUCUGGGCCGUAACUGACGCUGAGGAGCGAAAGCAUGGGGAGCGAACAGG